ensembl:snRNA U6 U6 spliceosomal RNA
UUGCUGCAGCAGCUCAUACACUAAAAUUGGAACAACAGAGAUUAGCAUGGCCCCUGCUCAAGGAUGACAUGCAAAUUCAUGAACUGUUCCAUAUUUUU